rnacentral:tRNA from 1 species
UUAAUUGAAACCAAAUAGAGGUAUAUUACUGUUAAUAAUAUUAUUGAGUAAAGCUCCAAUUAAU